rnacentral:misc_RNA from 1 species
UUCAUAGUCUCGUUUCACCAGAGAACCCACACAGAACCUAUAGAUCAUUUGAUAUAUACACGGUAUAAAAGGAUUAUCUCUGGUGUGUGAAUGUAGAGACAUAUGUGGUCAUAGCGGUAGCAACUCUCCGCAAUCUCCGUUUGAUUUCGUACUGAAUAUUUCGACGAUCAACUUGAACGAGACCUAGUAAAUGGCCAUGCUACCGUCCAAGAAACGUGUCUGUUACUAUUAUGAUAGUGAAAUUGGAAAUUAUUAUUAUGGCCAAGGACAUCCUAUGAAGCCACAUCGUAUAAGGAUGACACACAAUUUACUCUUGAAUUAUGGUCUUUAUAGAAAGAUGGAGAUAUAUCGACCACAUAAGGCCACAGCAGAAGAAAUGACAAAAUUUCAUAGCGAUGACUAUAUUAGAUUCCUGAGAUCCAUACGACCGGAUAACAUGAAUGAAUACAAUAAGCAAAUGCAUCGAUUUAAUGUAGGAGAAGAUUGCCCUGUUUUCGACGGCUUGUACGAAUUCUGCCAAUUAUCAGCUGGUGGCUCUGUAGCCGCUGCUGUGAAACUUAAUAAGCAAGCUUCUGAAAUUUGCAUAAAUUGGGGCGGUGGCUUGCAUCACGCCAAGAAGAGCGAAGCGUCAGGCUUUUGCUAUGUGAAUGACAUUGUGCUGGGAAUCUUGGAAUUGCUGAAGUAUCAUCAGAGAGUCUUGUAUAUCGAUAUCGAUGUUCACCAUGGCGAUGGUGUAGAGGAAGCAUUUUAUACUACGGAUAGAGUGAUGACGGUUUCGUUUCACAAGUAUGGCGAGUACUUCCCUGGAACUGGAGAUCUCCGCGAUAUCGGGGCAGGGAAGGGAAAGUAUUAUGCUGUCAACAUACCUUUGCGAGAUGGCAUGAAUGACGAGAGCUACGAGUCAAUAUUCGUUCCUAUCAUUUCGAAAGUAAUGGAGACUUUCCAACCCUCUGCUGUCGUUCUGCAAUGUGGCGCCGACUCAUUAACUGGCGACCGACUGGGAUGCUUUAACUUGACUGUGAGAGGUCACGGCAAGUGCGUGGAAUUCGUCAAGAGAUAUAACUUGCCCUUCCUGAUGGUAGGAGGUGGUGGUUAUACAAUCAGAAAUGUGUCCAGAUGCUGGACGUAUGAAACAUCCGUAGCUUUGGGAUGUGAAAUUGCGAACGAGCUUCCCUAUAACGAUUACUUUGAGUACUUUGGUCCUGACUUUAAGCUACACAUCAGCCCAUCAAAUGUGACAAAUCAAAACACUCCCGAAUAUCUCGAGAAAAUAAAAACAAGGUUGUUUGAAAAUCUGAGAAUGCUGCCUCACGCACCUGGUGUACAGGUUCAAACAAUUCCAGAGGACGGUACUAUUAUCGAUGAUUACGAGACUGAAGAGAACAUAAAUCCUGAUGAAAAGUUGCCCCAGCGCGAUUUAGAUAAGAGAAUACAACGUGAGAAUGAGUACAGUGACAGUGAAGACGAAGGAGAAGGUGGACGAAAGGAUAAUAGAUCAUACAAAAAAAUGAUAAAACCGAGAGAAUGAAUUAUGCGAACGAGGAAAUGAAGAGAGAAAAUUUCUGAUGACUCAUUCAAGAUCUGCACAUCUGCAAAAAGCGGUAUCCUCGCGGUGCAAUCGACGAAUAGUCCCUUUGGGCCUGGGCGAAGACGGGCGCAUGGGAAGCCAAUUACAUAGAAAUAUAUAAAAUACGUUAGCGAUAAGGAGCUAACAAUUACUACAAGAAUAGAAAGAAAUCAUCGGCUCAUCAGAAAGACAAGAUUACAAACUUGUGAAUUUUGUAUGUUAACUGUAUUUGUACUUUUGUAUUUAUCAAAAACUCGAGAUAUGUAAAAUUUCAUGCUUCUGAGCAUGCAAUCAAGAUAAGAACAAUAUCUUAUAUUAAGAUAAAAAAAUAGAGAACGUAAUUCGAAUAAGAUGUUUUAUGUUUUUCAAAUGAACCACUCAAAAGGAAAUAAAAUCUUCGUCAU